rnacentral:rRNA from 1 species
UAGGGAAUAUUGGGCAAUGGAGGCAACUCUGACCCAGCCAUGCCGCGUGCAGGAAGAAGGCGCUCAGCGUUGUAAACUGCUUUUAUCGGGGAAGAAACGACCCUUGCGAGGGGCAUUGACGGUACCCGAUGAAUAAGCACCGGCUAACUCCGUGCCAGCAGCCGCGGUAAUACGGAGGGUGCAAGCGUUGUCCGGAUUUAUUGGGUUUAAAGGGUGCGCAGGCGGGAAGGUUAUUUCGUGGUGAAAGACGAUCGCUCAACGAUUGCAGUGCCAUGAAUACUGCCUUUCUUGAAUCUGGUUGAGGCCGGUGGAAUUGACCGUGUAGCGGUGAAAUGCAUAGAUAUGGUCAAGAACUCCAAUUGCGAAGGCAGCCGGCUGGGCCAGUAUUGACGCUCAGGCACGAGAGUGCGGGGAUCAAACA